GAUGAAGAACGCAGCGAAAUGCGAUACGUAAUGUGAAUUGCAGAAUUCAGUGAAUCAUCGAGUCUUUGAACGCACAUUGCGCCCCCUGGUAUUCCGGGGGGCAUGCCUGUCCGAGCGUCAUUGCUGCCCUCAAGCACGGCUUGUGUGUUGGGCCUCCGUCCUCCUCCCGGGGGACGGGCCCGAAAGGCAGCGGCGGCACCGCGUCCGGUCCUCGAGCGUAUGGGGCUUCGUCACCCGCUCUUGUAGGCCCGGCCGGCGCUUGCCGACACAUCAAUCUUUUUUCCAGGUUGACCUCGGAUGAGGUAGGGAUACCCGCUGAACUUAAGCAUAUCAAUAAGCGGAGGA
rnacentral:misc_RNA from 1 species